AUUGUACGCUGGCGGCAGGCUUAACACAUGCAAGUCGAGCGGGGGAAGGUAGCUUGCUACUGGACCUAGCGGCGGACGGGUGAGUAAUGCUUAGGAAUCUGCCUAUUAGUGGGGGACAACAUCUCGAAAGGGAUGCUAAUACCGCAUACGUCCUACGGGAGAAAGCAGGGGAUCUUCGGACCUUGCGCUAAUAGAUGAGCCUAAGUCGGAUUAGCUAGUUGGUGGGGUAAAGGCCUACCAAGGCGACGAUCUGUAGCGGGUCUGAGAGGAUGCUCCGCCACACUGGGACUGAGAUACGGCCCAGACUCCUACGGGAGGCAGCAGUGGGGAAUAUUGGACAAUGGGGGGAACCCCGAUCCAGCCAUGCCGCGUGCGUGAAGAAGGCCUUAUGGUUGUAAAGCACUUUAAGCGAGGAGGAGGCUACUUUAGUUAAUACCUAGAGAUAGUGGACGUUACUCGCAGAAUAAGCACCGGCUAACUCUGUGCCAGCCGCCGCCGUAA
rnacentral:rRNA from 1 species